UGACUAUGUAAACCAAUUUUAAAGAUUAGUGUUGCUUUUCUUUGUUUUCCAUUAUAUGCUUAAUCACGACACGUGAGCUUUUUCUGCAGCCCAUUCUUGUUGAAUCUGGCAGCUUAACAAACGUGAUGCUUUUCGCCAUGUAAAGUUCAGAGAUUGGACACGAAACAGCGUUCAUUCUUGGUAAAUGUGGCUGCUUACAAUAGUUGAUAGUCCUUUCUAUAUGAAGGUUACUGAUGAAACAGCUUCGUAUGUGAAAAGCGGUUCUAAGCCGAUGGUUCUCUGCUUUAUGUGGAGCCUUGUUUUCUUUUUGUGAAAUGAGAGAUGCACAUCUUUUCUAUUUCUAAGAGAACGUUGUAUGUACUUUACAAGGCAGCAUCUCCUGUGAGUAAUUCCGUCAAUACGAAUGUAAUGGUACGAAGGAGCUUUAAAUACGAAUGAUGAGAGUCAGAGAAGAGCCGUAAGUUGAACUACCCUCAAUGGUUUGCCAUGUGAAUGAGUUUUUCCUGAACAAGGUUCUCUUGACGACUGACGAGUCUGUUUCUGCCUGAAGAAUAGCGAGAAUACGAUACACUUCUCACUACUGAUUCUCCAUAUAAUGUUCGACGAAUCUCUCUGUUUGUUGGAAGAUCAUUUCGACGGUCUCCUUUUUCUUCAUCACCUAGAUUAGUCUUUUACUUGUGAGUGUGAGUUUCCUGGUUAUGGUUAUGGAACAGAUUCUAUUGUAAGAAACACCUUUACGCUUGGCUUUGGAGAACAGCUUAUCCCCCUCUCCCCCUUCCAUUGUAGACACUGUUCUGUUCAUUUUAAUGUACUCUUAUUAAAUUUGGAAGCAAAACUUUCUCUUUUGAGCCUUAA